GUACAGGAUAUAAAGGAUAAUUUCCUUUCCUUUGAUUCCUGAGUUCCCCUCAUUUUAGCUGAUGCACACAUCUUAUCAAGUGAUUCAACAUGCUAAUCAGUAUCAGAGAGAUUCUGCUCUGGCAAGUCUCAAAAUUUAGAAACCUAAAAUAAUACAUGAGCACCUUCAUUUUCAUAAAACUGGUAACUGAUUGCUUGUGCCUUUUAGUGCCUCUUGUCUCAAAUUAACAGCAUCCUAUACUAACCAGCAAUUUUGCUGUCAGCACUACUUACCACCUAGACACCUAAUCCCUUGCUCCUUUUACUUGAUCCCAAUGGUUUAUCAUGAUCUCUUUAUGGAAACUCCAGAGGGAAUAACUAAACAAUGGAAUUCAAACAGGUUUCCUCAAGAUUCAUCCUUUAGAAAGUUAGAUAGACUAAAUGGAUUUUUUUUCAUUUGGUAACUUUUAAGCAAAAAUUAUUUCUAAUAAAUCCUCAGCAGUGCUGACCAGUCAGAGUUUUAUUUAACUGUUAACAGGAGUACAGUUGGGUCAACUAAGAGCAUUUUGAAAUUUCACCCUAAACAUAUUGGAUUCCUUUCUUUCUAUGAAGCUCCCCAAGUGCAAAUGAAGGUUUUCAUUCAGUUGAUCCCUGUAAACAAUCCUAAGGCUGCUUUUGCAUUCUUUGUAUCCUGAUUCCAGUUUAAAGAAAUAUGUCUUUCUCUUUUUCUUAUCCUGCUACAAAACCUUGUGCCAGAGAAAUAGUUGGAUUCUGAAAUAUACUGACCCAAGUCACGUCUUAUUCUGAAUUUGACAGUUUAUAGCUAUAAUAUGGAAGAAGAAAGGGGUCUUUGAGAAUAUCACCAACGUGUAUGAGAAUUCUAUUUCAGCAGGAUUUGUAAAAAGAAUAUGAAUUUGAGUCUUGACACAAAUUGUAUUUCCUUCCGUGACAGCUGCCCUUCACUCUGACUCUUCCACUUUGAAGAUUAGCUGAAAGGUGUGAAGAAGGACACCUCAGGCACGAAGGAUGUAAAGAAGAGUGGGUGGAAAUGAUGAUGAUGAUGAUGAUGAUGAUGAUGAUGAUGAUGAUGAUGAUGAUGAUGGUGGUGGUGGUGGUGGAAGUUGACUCCCUCUGGCCCAGUGGCUCUCUAGGAAGUUCCGACUCAGAGUGUGGGGUGAUAUGACUGUGGAAGAAAUCCUCAUCCUCCUGAAGCCAUGGCAAUUCUCCCAGUAUCUACUACAACAGUGAGGAUUUCAAUACAGAAGGUUUUUUUUUCAUUGCUGAGGGGAGGUUUUGUGGUUAACAUGAUAAUAUUGCAUGUAUAAAAUAUGUGCAAACUACUGAAUCACCAUUUGAAUGUAACAGAAAACAUUUUUAACUAAUUAACCACCAUUUUCUUAGUUGUCACUAAAAAUCUGCAAAAUAAGAAUUUUUCUCAUUUUUCAUAUAACGUGGCAAAAUGAAUAAUUGCAAUAAAUCAAAAUAAAUAUCAAUUCUAUACAUAUAUACACAGUUGCUCUCUGUGCUCUUUUCCUUUUGCACUAAGAAAUCUUGAUUUUCUGCAUUGACAUUCACUUGUGUAGUCUCUGCAAUUAAGUAUGUAAAUUUGAAAACUUCAUCUAUAAAUGAUGGAAUAGAUAUUUCUGUAACACUUUGCGUGCAUAAAACUUCCUGACAGUCUGUGACUAAAUGAAACAUGCAUGCAAAUAAAGCUGCUAUCUUUGUGUUUAAACUUAUGGUUCCACAGCAUUCAAAGUUUGGGCAAAACAUGUUAUCAAACAGCAGUUCUGCUUGGAGUCUUCCAG